rnacentral:rRNA from 1 species
UACAGAGGUGGCAAGCGUUGUUCGGAAUUACUGGGCGUAAAGGGCGCGUAGGCGGUCAUCUAAGUCUUGUGUGAAAUCCCUCGGCUCAACUGAGGAACUGCACGGGAUACUGGAAGACUUGAGUUCGGGAGAGGGAAGCGGAAUUCCGGGUGUAGCGGUGAAAUGCGUAGAUAUCCGGAGGAACACCGGUGGCGAAGGCGGCUUCCUGGGCCGAUUACUGACGCUGAGGCGCGAAAGCUAGGGGAGCAAACGGG